AAGAUCUCUAUCUGGAGAUCACUUCUCAUGGAGCCCUUCUGUGAGCCUAGGAUGCAGCAGAUGGACAGUCUAAUAACAUGGUGUCUGACAUGGAAUUGUGUAUGAAGCAAAGGAGCAUCGCUGAAUUCCUCCAUACAGAAAAAAUGGUUGAUGGAUCGCAGUUGCUCAGAACUGGGAAAUACUCUCCUGAAUGAGUUCAACCAUUUUGAAAAACCUCUUAGCAUGAAAACAAUAUCAACCCACUGCCAAGACCUUAAGUAUCUGCUAUUAACUCUUCCUCAGAGUUGAAGGCAGCCAUUAUUUUGCACACAAAAGCUUUCCUAAAAAGAAAUGGAACAAAUUCACCUCAGGUGUCAGUUCAUAGGCUUCAUCAAGGAUUGAUUUUGUCAAUGUGCCAAAUAAAGUAAUAGCUUUUCUAGUUCAGCCAGGAUUUUGUGCUUCAUUUCAAAUACUCUGUAGUUAUUUAACUCUCAGUUGAAAAAAAAAAAAAACUCAUUCCCAUCUUGCUUGUACUUAUUCUACAAGAAGAAACUGAG
ensembl:lncRNA